AUUCAGGCUGGUCCUGCAGAGAGGAAGCCCUUCCAAUACCUGGAAGCAGAAGGGCUUCCUCUCUGCAGGACCAGCCUGAAU
rfam:Chlorocebus sabaeus isolate 1994-021 chromosome 9, whole genome shotgun sequence.